rnacentral:misc_RNA from 1 species
GCUUCUCUACCAACGGCCGCUGCAAUUGCCAAUGUUACAAAAAGUGCCAGCAAUCGCCGCUUCUUCUUCUUCUCCUCUUCCCUUGCCCAUAACUUCAACCAUUAUCGCCCGUUCUUCGCUGUACGUCCAACUUUUUCUAGUUUUACCCCACCACUUGGUAAGGAUAAUGUCGCUACCAGGGGAAGAAUCUCCAGAAAUGGUGCGCGGU